rnacentral:rRNA from 1 species
AGAGUGAACGCUGGCGGUAGGCCUAACACAUGCAAGUCGAACGGCAGCACGGUAAGAGCUUGCUCUUAUGGGUGGCGAGUGGCGGACGGGUGAGGAAUACAUCGGAAUCUACCUUUUGGUGGGGGAUAACGUAGGGAAACUUACGCUAAUACCGCAUACGCCCCGUCGGGGGAAACGCCGGGGACCAGCAAUGGCCUGGCGCUGAUAGAUGAGCCGAUGUCGGAUUAGCUAGUUGGUGAGGUAAUGGCUCACCAAGGCGACGAUCCGUAGCUGGUCUGAGAGGAUGAUCAGCCCACACUGGAACUGAG